UACGGAGGGGGCUAGCGUUGUUCGGAAUUACUGGGCGUAAAGGGCGCGUAGGCGGUCGUGACAAGUCACUUGUGAAAUCUCCGGGCUUAACUCGGAACGGUCAAGUGAUACUGUCGGACUAGAGUACAGAAGGGGCAACUGGAAUUCUCGGUGUAGCGGUGAAAUGCGUAGAUAUCGAGAGGAACACCUGCGGCGAAGGCGGGUUGCUGGGCUGAUACUGACGCUGAGGCGCGAAAGCCAGGGGAGCGAACAGG
rnacentral:rRNA from 1 species